GUCGUUGUUGCUCUGGGAGAGGGGACUCCUGGAAUGUGUCUCUGAAUAAAGACUAGCCGAAGGUGCGAAGUGACUAGAUGGGAGCAAAGGAGGAAAACUAGGGAAUGGGAGAUACUGUGGCCUCAUGAAUAGGAAUGUCUGCCCAUAUGUCAGGAUUGGAAAUAAUGGAUGAAGAUCAAUUAAUCAAAGAAGUCUUGGAUAAAUUCCUUAAUUGUCAUGAGCAAACAUGUGAUGAAGAAUUUCUGAACACUUUUACUCAUCUUUCACAAGAUUUGCUGCUGCUUCCAGGAGAGGUGGAGCAGGAUGUAAGCACCAGCAUUCCUUCCUGUAUCCCUUUUGUGGCCCAGCCUCCUACCUGUGAAGUGAAGCCAAAGCCCACUGUAAAAAGAAUGGACAAACAGACGGAAGAGGUACUCCACAGGGAAUUCAUUCUCCACACUGCCUUGAUUUUGUAAUUCAUCCCUUCAAAGAAAUGCUGUAUGCUUCUGUAUUUUUCUAAGAUUUGGGAAAAUAUAAAAUUCAAGUUGCUUAAUUGGUCCCUCUCACAGCCAUCUAUCUCAAAUGCAUAUAUUUCUUU
rnacentral:sRNA from 1 species